CGGGAUGUGGCUCAGUCUGGUUAGAGCGCAGCGUUCGGGACGCUGAGGCCGAGUGUUCGAAUCACUCCAUCCCGACCA
rnacentral:tRNA from 1 species